UAAGGGGCAGGACUACCAGCUAUUAAAACUCUGGUAUGGUACUAGGGAAAAGAAACUCAGUGAUUUGGGAGAAUACACUGACCGGACACACAGAUACAGAGUAUUUCAAAAAUAUAAUACAUAAUAUAUACAGCGCCGUAAGUUGUAUUGUGUAGUUCUAAAUAUAUAUAGCACAAUACUUGAUUAUAUUCCUCGGACGCUGGAGACAGAUUGUGGUACCUGAACUUCCAGAAAUCAAACUAAAAACGCGUGGAAUGUCAACAGGACUAUGAGUUACUGUUAAAUCACGUAAGUACGGUUUGUGGAUUGUCAAGUUCUACUGCACUUCCGCCUUCUUCGGCUGCUGAAAUCGUCUACGCUUCUCACGAAGCCGAUUCACUCGUAAUGUACAGUUUAUUAAACGGGUGACUGUCUGGGGUGACCUGCACUUAGGGAGCAUCUCCAAGUGGAUUUAUCUGUGGUGAACAACCUAAGGGACCGUCUUGAAAUGGACGGAAACGAUCCUAACAGGAGAGGUGGGGCGAGGGGGAGAGGCAGAGGAAAUGCAGACCACCGGAGAGGUGCGGGGGCCCCACAGAGGGAUGGAGACCACAACAACCCAAGAGGAGGAGGAGGUAGAAGAGGAGGA